CUGGGCCGAUACUCCCCUGAGACAUUGAUAGAUGAGGGCAGGAAGGCUAGGAGGUUCCAGUGGGGCCUCCGCCCAGAGAUCAAGCAGCACUUAUUGGUACUAGAGCUCAAGACAUAUUCAGCCGUUCUGGCAAAGGCGCAGAUCGUGGAGAGGAGUUUCAACACCCUUUCUCAGUCAGCAGGGAGUCACAGACUCUCAGCUCCACCCC
rnacentral:lncRNA from 1 species